CCAAAUGACAGCUGUCUUGGCCUCGCGCCCUGACGCUUCAACCUCUUGUGAACCAAACCAAACUUUCGCUUCGGCAGCUGGGCAACCGCCCGUGAGCCUGCCGCUGGCAUCAAAUUCAAACCUGCAUUAAAAACUUGUCUGAAUCCAAAUUUCUGAAUUGAAAUCA
rnacentral:misc_RNA from 1 species